rnacentral:piRNA from 1 species
GGAGAGAAAGAAGAAUAGAGGCGGAA